AUACGAAGGGUGCAAGCGUUACUCGGAAUUACUGGGCGUAAAGCGUGCGUAGGUGGUUGUUUAAGUCUGUCGUGAAAGCCCUGGGCUCAACCUGGGGAUGGCGAUGGAAACUGGGCGACUAGAGUGUGGCAGAGGGUAGUGGAAUUCCUGGUGUAGCAGUGAAAUGCGUAGAGAUCAGGAGGAACAUCCGUGGCGAAGGCGACUGCCUGGGCCAACACUGACACUGAGGCACGAAAGCGUGGGGAGCAAACAGGAUUAGAUACCCUGGUAGUCCACGCUCUAAACGAUGCGAACUGGAUGUUGGGUGCAAUUUGGCACGCAGUAUCGAAGCUAACGCGUUAAGUUCGCCGCCUGGGGAGUACGGUCGCAAGACUGAAACUCAAAGGAAUUGACGGGG
rnacentral:rRNA from 1 species